AUUGAACGCUGGCGGCAUGCCUAACACAUGCAAGUCGAGCGGAGCGGCGGACGGGUUAGUAAUGCCUCGGAAUCUGCCUGGUAGUGGGGGAUACCGUCCGGAAACGGGCGCUAAUACCGCAUACUAUCAGAUGAGCCUAGGUCGGGUUAGCUAGUUUGUGGGGUAAAGGCCUCCAAAGCCAACGAUCCUGAACUGGUCUGAGAGGAUGAUCAGUAACCAUGGAAUGGAGACACGGUCCAGACUCAGACGGGAGGCAGCAGUGGGGAAUAUUGGACAAUGGGCGAAAGCCUGAUCCAACCAUGCCGCGUGUGUGAAGAAGGUCUUCGUAUUGUAAAGCACUUUAAGUUGGGAGGCGUUACCAACAGAAUAAGCACCGGCUAACUUCGUGCCAGCAGCCGCGGUAAUAC
rnacentral:rRNA from 1 species